rnacentral:rRNA from 1 species
UUUCGCAAUGCCCGAAAGGGUGACGAAGCGACGCCGCGUGAGUGAGGAAGGCCUUCGGGUUGUAAAGCUCUGUCAGGAGUUAAGAAAUAUAAGUGUGUUAAUACCACAUUUAUUUGACGAAGGCUCCAAAGGAAGCCACGGCUAACUCUGUGCCAGCAGCCGCGGUAAUACAGAGGUGGCAAGCGUUGUUCGGAAUUAUUGGGCGUAAAGAGCACGUAGGUGGGUUUGUAAGUCAGAUGUGAAAGCCUUCUGUUCAACGGAAGAAUUGCAUCUGAAACUGCGAGUCUUGAGUGUAGGAGGGGAGAAUGGAACCUCUGGUGGAGCGGUGAAAUGCGUAGAUAUCAGAAGGAACGCCGGCGGCGAAAGCGAUUCUCUGACCUAUUACUGACACUCGGUGUGCGAAAGCUAGGGGAGCAAACGGGAUUAGAUACCCCGGUAGUCCUAGCUGUAAACGAUGGGCACUAAGUAGAGGGGUUUUA